rnacentral:rRNA from 1 species
CAACGCGACCCCAGGUCAGGCGGGGCUCCCCGCUGAUUUU